rnacentral:lncRNA from 1 species
GCGAGCGGGCGAGCUAGCGAGGGAGGGAGGAGGUAGAGAGACAAGGAGGGUGGGAGGGAGGAGGAAAAAUAAAGAGGAGAGCCGAGCAGGGCUGAACAAUAGAGACAGGCAGACGGGCGAGGAGGAGAGCCAGCUGCCGCUGCUGGGGGAGAGCGGGCGUCCAGGCAGCCGGGACCCCGGCUCGGGCCAGACCGCAGGCGGCCAGCGCCCCCAGGGAAGGGGGACCAUGGGGGAGCCGGCAGCAGGCGCCCCCAGCCCGCCGCGCGCCUCCGCUUGAGGGAGCCUCGGCGUCCUCUGCCCCAGCCUCGCCGCCCCGGCCGCCCGCCCUCGAAGCCCGGUGUCCGCCGGGUCUGCGGCCGUGGCCGCUGCGCCCCGCGCCCUCCGCCCACAGGGCGCCGAGCAGCCCUCGGCCCCAGGCUUCGCCAGCCGCCGGCUGCCCGCGGACGCCCUCCCCCAGUCAUGAACCCCCCGGAGGGGGCAGCGGAGGAAGGAGGAGCCGCCGACUCGGACGUGGACGCCUUUUUCCGGACAGGGUCUUUUCGGAAUGAUGGUUUGAAAGCUUCUGAUGUCCUUCCCAUCCUAAAGGAAAAAGUGGCCUUCGUGUCUGGUGAGUGUCUAUGGAGGUUUCCUCUGUAAUGGACCUAGAGAAGUUGCAUGUGGGUGUGCACGUGUGUGUAUGUUUGUGUGCAUGCAUGUGUGCAGGCACGUACUUCUUUGUGUGUGCGCGAGAGAGGAGGGAGGUGGGAGUGAUGCUCUGAGCAGCUGCUUCCUCUCUGCAGAGGCAGGCAGAAAGGGGAGGGAGUGCUCUGGUCCCAGCUGGGUGUUCCGGAGGAUGUUCACAACCAAAAGUGGGUAUACCCCCCUCCAUCUUGCACCCACACACACAUCCAUCACCCUGCCCCAUCCUCCUGGGCCUGUCAGGCCCACAGGAGCUGCUGAGGCCCCUCUCUGAGAGAUGCUGCAGCCAGAGGGGUCUGUCCCCCUCACACAGUCCUAGAGGUUUUCUUUGGGUUCAUCUCUGACUAGGUCAUGAACAGGAGAUUUAAAUUUUUUCUGGCUCCUUCCUAUCUCUCCUUCUAGCAAAGGGAAGUCAAGUGGGUGUUUGUGUCUAUUUAUUUAUUUUAUUUUUUUAAUUUAUUUUUUAAAAUUCAUUUCUGACUUCUCUCUCCAACCUAUCUUGUACGCCUGGUCCUUUUAAUGGCUAAUUCAGGGGUCAUCAAAAUGUAGCCUGUGCUUUGCUGCAGGUCAGCCAGCUUUUUUUGUAAUUAGAACUUUAUUAGAAUAUAGCCAUGUGCAUUCAUUUAGUAGUAUAUUAGCUUCCUAUUGCUGCUGUAACAAGUUGCCACAAACUCGGUGGCUUACAGCAGCAGAUAUGUCUUCUCUCAUGGUUAUGGAAGCCAAAAGUCCAAAAUUGGUUUAUCGGGCCAAAAUCAAGGUGUCAGAGGCUCUGGGAGAAUUUGUUCCUUGUUUCUUCCAGCUUCUGGGGGCUGCCAGCAUCCAUCAGCUUGUGGCCACAUCACUCCCACCUCUGCCUGCAGGGUGGUAUUGCCUUCCACUUCUCUGUCUGUGUCAAAUCUCCCUAUGCCUCACAGUAAGGAUGCCUGUGACCUCAUUUAGGACCCACGGAGAUUAUGCAGAGUAAUCUUCCCAUAUCAAGAGCCUUAUCUUAAUCAUUACCUGCAAAGACUCCUUUUUUUCCAAAUAAAGUUCCAUUUACAGGUUCUGGGACUAGGACCUGAUAUGUCUGGGGGCCAUUAUUCAGCCUACUGCAAGUUGUCCAUGGCUGCUUUGUUGCUGUAACAGCUGAGUUGAGUAGUUUUAGCAGAGACCAGAUGGCCACAAGCCUAAAAUAUUUACCAUCUGUCCCUUUAAGAAGAAGUUUGGUAACCCCUGAUGUAGUUGAAGCCAAAUUAUGAGGUUCACCAGCAUCACUCUGGGUGCCAGUUCUAGGGCAUCAGAAUCUCUGGCAGGGGCUGCGAGAUGGCAAGGUGAGUAGCCAAGGAUCACAUUUUGAGAAAUACAUCCAAGUGCUUCACUUUCAAGGACUAAGACUUUGUUUUUAGAUGAUUCUGGUCAGCUAAAAGGAAUGGUGAUGGAAUCAUAGGCAAAGAGCCAACACAGGCCUACAGUGCAGGGUUCACUCCAUGGGCACUGCAGAAGCCAAAAUGGAGAGAAGGGAGAGAGGGGAGGUGGGCUUGGGGAAGGAGAAACCAAGUAGAAGGUGUCCCCCACCUGACCAGAGGGAAGAGAUCAGACUGGUGAUUCAGCAUGGAGGGUGGGAGAUGAAGGCAGACUAUGUGAUGGGAGCAUGUAAGCUUUUGUAAGGUACUAAGUGCGUUCCAUGUGAGUAGUAUUAGUAGUAGAGGUAGUAAUAAUAGUGGUAGUAGGAAUAUAGUGUUUUAUUACUGUCAUUGCUGUUGGAGGGAGUGGCUGGGAAGCCGCCUUUCCCCGUUAGUGUUAAGCGCUUGUACAUCUUAUUAGGUAGGGAGCCUCUGUCACUGAAGAUGCUGAAGCUCAGGCUAAUCCCUUGGCAGGAUCACGUGGUAGCAACUGCAUUAUAGUGAGAGGUGUAGGUCAACCUCCAGAGCUGGAUCUGAGUGCUUGCUGAGCAUGUGGGGAUACCCUAUGCAGAAGUCUUGGGGCCACUGGGCAGCGCAGAUUGCUGACUUCUGCAGCCUCCCAUCAUCUGGGCUCCCAGGACAUGGCCCACAGCUCUGUAGGGAGCCCAAUCAGAUUUUUCCUCUUUUUUUUUUAAUGCCUGGAGCCUAUUUAACCUGGUGUCCUUCUUCUCCCCUGCGUGUCCUGCUAAUUCAUUUCUCUUAUGCACUGUGCCUCCUUUGCCUGUGGUGCCUGCCCCACACCUGCUGCUGCUUUGAGCCUUUUCCUAUCCUUUCCAAGUCAACUCCCAUUUUGCCUCCUCCAGGAGGCCUUCCUGGCUUUAAGGCAUAUCUUUUGAGCACCAUCCUGUUCCACAUCAGUACAGGGCAUAUGAGUGCAGGCAUGGUUCACUUGGACAUGGGGACCCUUGCUUGAUCAUUCAUGGUUUAUUUUUUUCCCACGUGAAUUCUGUCAGAGCCCUAAAAAGAGCUUCCUGAGUUUAGGGAGUUCUCAUAAUAGAGCACAGAGCAGCAAGGUGCCAGGAAGGCAGUCAGUCAGGUGCAAGGCAGGUAGCCGCUUCCCAGAGGAGGACCUAGGGGCUGGGAGCUGCAACUCAUGCCCUUGUGCCAUUGUGGACUGAGAAUGGGGAAGUCAUUCAUCUGCACGUGUUGCCAGGAGCUUUGGGGCUUAGGGACAUUGUCCUUCUGUGCCCGGGAAGGACGCUGAGGGCGCCAGGGAGAUGAUUGACUGCAUCUAAAAAAAAGAAAAAAAA